AUGAGACUGUGGGGUCUUCUCCUUUGCCUGGUGACAGCUCUCCAAGGUGUCCUGUCCGAGGUGCAGCUGCAGGAGUCGGGCCCAGGACUGGUGAAGCCCUCGCAGACCCUCUCCCUCACCUGCACAGUCUCUGGUGACUCCAUCACAACCAGUUAUUACUACUGGAGCUGGAUCCGCCAGCCCACGGGGAAGAGCCUUGAGUGGAUGGGAAUAAUUGCUUAUGAUGGAGGCACAGCUUAUAACCCGUCCGUCAAGAGCCGCACCUCCAUCACCAGAGACACGUCCAAGAACCAGUUCUCCCUGCAGCUGAGCUCUGUGACUGAUGAGGACACGGGCGUGUAUUACUGUGCGAGAGACACAGUGACAGGAAGACAGCGUUUCCUGUCCAAGUCGCAGCUGCAGGAAACACGGCUGUGCCUGGUGAGGCCCUCACAGAACCUGUUCCUCACUUGCACUAUUUCUUGA